GACGAACGCUGGCGGCGUGCUUAACACAUGCAAGUCGAACGGAAAGGCCCUGCUUGCAGGGUACUCGAGUGGCGAACGGGUGAGUAACACGUGGGUGAUCUGCCCUGCACUUCGGGAUAAGCCUGGGAAACUGGGUCUAAUACCGGAUAGGAGCCAUUUUUAGUGUGAUGGUUGGAAAGUUUUUUCGGUGUAGGAUGAGCUCGCGGCCUAUCAGCUUGUUGGUGGGGUAAUGGCCUACCAAGGCGGCGACGGGUAGCCGGCCUGAGAGGGUGGACGGCCAAAUUGGGACUGAGAUACGGCCCAGACCCCUACGGGAGGCAGCAGUGGGGAAUAUUGCACAAUGGGCGCAAGCCUGAUGCAGCGACGCCGCGUGGGGGAUGACGGCCUUCGGGUUGUAAACUCCUUUCGCUAGGGACGAAGCUUUUUGUGACGGUACCUAGAUAAGAAGCACCGGCUAACUACGUG
rnacentral:rRNA from 1 species